rnacentral:rRNA from 1 species
UACGUAGGGGGCAAGCGUUGUCCGGAUUUAUUGGGCGUAAAGAGCGUGUAGGCGGCUAGAUAGGUCCGUUGUGAAAACUCGAGGCUCAACCUCGAGACGCCGAUGGAAACCAUCUAGCUAGAGUCCGGAAGAGGAGAAUGGAAUUCCUGGUGUAGCGGUGAAAUGCGCAGAUAUCAGGAAGAACACCAAUAGCGAAGGCAGCUCGCUGGGACGUUACUGACACUGAGGCGCGAAAGCGUGGGGAGCGAACAGG